rnacentral:sRNA from 1 species
GCGUCUCCUGGUCCCUCCUGGCCGGGGAA